GGUAGUGUUAUCCUUCAUUGAACACUGGCCAUUCCUAGCUGUCCCCAGGCUGACUGCAGGACACCCAGACAGACCUUCAAGAAGAGGGGACACUGGUUUUGUGCCUGAGGACAGGAGGACCAGAACCACUGCGGAAGAUUCUCAGCUUUGGCAGUUGAUACGAAGUAUCCAAGAGCAAGAGGUUGCUGCUUCAGUUCUUCAGGGGCUUCUCUGGAGAGGAGACGUUCCCCUUGGUUCUGGAAGAAGAGUUGCAAACACAGUUCAGUUCCCCAGGCUCAUAUUCCAGAACCACUUUGGAUUCCCACACAGCAAUGUUAGCCUCCUACACAGACUCCAGUCCAGGUAGGACUGGAUGCUGCAGAGUAACUCAGAGGUAUGGGCUGGGCUGGUAGCUUGCAGAAAAAUGCUACACUUGCCCUUCCUUGCUGUGGACAUUUGGGCAGAAGGUACAAGCUGGGUUUGGAUUUGUGCUGCCAAGUGUGGGGAAAAGGAAACAGCUGCCCUGCUUUUCAGUUUCUAUCACCUAUCAGUUUAUCUAAAUACUGGGGCUUUGCAGCACUUGUGACUCAUGUCCUUCCACUUGGACCAAAGAGUGACUGGGAGAGGAGAGAGUUAAACAAGGAGAAGCUGGCUAUAAAGUUAAUUUCACCAGACUUGGAGUCACUGCCUGCCAGCACCUAUGUCUGUGAUUUGAUUUCUGUAGAGUAAAACCUAGAUGAGUCAUCCACACCUGAGGCUGUUAGACUUCUUGGGGUGAGCUUGCUCACCUCCUCCUGGGUGUCUGUGCCCUCAGAUCCCUGCCUGCCAUAAGCCCACAACCAAACCUACCUCAGGUACUAGAAAGGGAGCUGCCACCUCAGUCUAGAGUACCUUCCUAGUUUGAAGGCUUGCUUUGGAAACACCCUUUAUUAUUCUGCUUUUACUUUGAAUUCAGAGAUGCCUGUAAAGCAUUUUAGCUUGCACCUUACCCCAGCAGA